UUUUUAAAUUUUUUACUUUUGCACAUCAGUUUACUCAGGAGCUUGUUUGUGCCUUGCACCUAUGCCCUAGAACUCCUUGGCGCUUUAACGUCUCUUGAGCCUUUAAUAGCUAUGGGUAGAUGCAAGAUUCGAGAUCUAUGAAUCAUAUUUAGAGGCUUGCUACUUUAUCGGGAGAUAACCCUUAGUACAACUAUUUCAGUAUAUACAUCAACAGUCAAACCAUAAGUUUCAUGAAUGACGCAUAAUGUAGAGCAAAAAAUCAAACUAUGAGUCUCAUAAUAUUGAAGAAUAAUCUUCGAGAGCACGUUGCAGCAUCAAAAUCAAUGAUUUCAUAUUGCUAUUUUUAUUUGUUAGCUAGAUCAUGCUUUUUUAUUUAAUGCAUGGAAAUACCUUUAAUUUGGCUGUUUUAAUUUAAUUUUUUUUAAUUUAAAAAAACAGGUAGAAGAAAAAUGAAAGCUACAGAAGACAACGUGCAGAAAUUGCAUAAAAAUACUAUCUCAGAAUCAGAAGCUAAUUGCAGAGACAUGAUCUUCUUUGCUUUGUCUGCAAAAUUAUUAAAAACAAUGUUAUUUACAGUCACCCCAUUUCAUUGGAAGAUACCAAACAGACCCUAUCAAGAUUUUUCAUUAUAAACUAUAAUUUCUAUGGUUUAUAAGAUGAGUUGUUCUAUUCUGUAUAGAAGGAACGAAGCAAGUAUAAAACAAUUUAAU
rnacentral:misc_RNA from 1 species